rnacentral:rRNA from 1 species
GACGAACGCUGGCGGCGUGCUUAACACGUGCAAGUCGAACGGUAAGGCCCCUCGGGGUACACGAGUGGCGAACGGGUGAGUAACACGUGGGUGAUCUGCCCUGCACUUCGGGAUAAGCCUGGGAAACUGGGUCUAAUACCGGAUAGGACCCUGGGAUGCAUGUCCUGGGGUGGAAAGCUUUUGCGGUGUGGGAUGGGCCCGCGGCCUAUCAGCUUGUUGGUGGGGUGAUGGCCUACCAAGGCGACGACGGGUAGCCGGCCUGAGAGGGUGACCGGCCACACUGGGACUGAGAUACGGCACAGACUCCAACGGGAGGCAGCAGUGGGGAAUAUUGCACAAUGGGCGCAAGCCUGAUGCAGCGACGCCGCGUGAGGGAUGACGGCCUUCGGGUUGUAAACCUCUUUCAGCACCGACGAAGCGCAAGUGACGGUAGGUGCAGAAGAAGGACCGGCCAACUACGUGCCAGCCGCCGCCGUAA